ACGGAAGGCAGCAGUGAGGAAUAUUGGUCAAUGGGCGGAAGCCUGAACCAGCCAAGUCGCGUGAAGGAUGAAGGUAUUAUGUAUCGUAAACUCCUUUUGCCUGAGGGUAAAGUGGCCUACGUGUAGGUUAUUGCAAGUAUCAGGUGAAUAAGCAUCGGCUAACUCCGUGCCAGCAGCCGCGGUAAUACGGAGGAUGCGAGCGUUAUCCGGAUUUAUUGGGUUUAAAGGGAGCGUAGGCGGCCCGUUAAGUCAGCGGUCAAAUCAGGUGGCUCAACCAUCUGUCGCCGUUGAAACUGUCGGGCUUGAGUGCACAAGAGGUGGAUGGAAUUCAUGGUGUAGCGGUGAAAUGCUUAGAUAUCAUGAAGAACUCCGAUUGCGAAGGCAGUCCACUGGGGUGUUACUGACGCUGAUGCACGAAAGUGCGGGUAUCAAACAGGAUUAGAUACCCUGGUA
rnacentral:rRNA from 1 species